ensembl:lncRNA
CUAUGCUUUAGAGGGACCACUUUGGCUCCUGGGUGGAAGAUGAACUGAAGUAGGAAGAGAUUUGAGACUAUUGAAAUAGUCCCCAUGGGAGACUUCUAGGAGGGAUACCAGGAAGGGCAGAAGGCCAAGACUUGGCCAUGGAUUGGAUGAGUGGGGGAGAGUUAAGAGGGCAGUCUAGUACCCAGGCUGGUCCGGAUUCGAGCCAGAACAAAUCAGGUCUUGAGUCAGCUCUGUCCCUUGUCACAGCCUCUCUGGGGAAGGAUGAGGAAGGGAAGAAGGGUGGGGUGUUGAGGUCUACCUGCCUUCCAGGUGCUCGGGUUCCAUCAGCUGCUGCUUUGGGCGAUGCAAAUCCUGGGGACAAUAGGGCCCCUGUUUCCCCUUGUCCUCUCUCUGCUGAAAAGGUCAGGGCUGGACCUCUGGGGACUCACUCGAUGCUCGGCUCCAGAUGGUAAGAUGUCUCUUCCCUGGGACAGCUCCAAGGCCUUCAGGCCACCUACUGACCCAGGAUCCAGGAGGGUUUGGAGGGGAGCCGGGCCAGUCUGACGCUGCCCUCUUCUCUGUGUUCUCUGCAGGACAAAAUCGGUGGCCACAAGACCCAGGUCCUGCCUCCCUUGCCACCCCCCAGAUCACUGGCUUCCACAUCUUGGAGAGAGGAUGCUCUUGGGCCGUCUUCCUCCAGUUCUCCUGGACUUUCGAGCCAAUGGGUAAGAUUUCUUGGCCCUCCUCCUCCAUCCCAGCUCCAUCCAUCCUCCAUCUUCUUGUCCCUGCUACCCCUCUCCUCCAGCCUCAUCCCCAGGCUUCCCACUGGCCCCUCUCUCCCCUGAAUUGAUACCAAGGAGGAAGGAGAAUAUGAGCUCCCUCCUUGUGAGUCCCUGCCCCUCAAGAUGGGCUCUGCCUGCCCUCUCUCCCUGGAGAACAACAAUGAGCUCUAUCUGGAUCGCCUCACCCCCAGUGGACCUCCAAAACCAGUGCCCCAGUCCACCAUGCUGCUAGCAGCCCUGAACCUACAGGAGGAUGGGGGUGGAGGAGACUACUUUGGAAGAAAAGAUGUGAGCACGGCUGGAAAUACGGAUGGGGCUGGAGAAGAUGAAGCUGAGGAGUCCAUCUACCUGGAGCCCAGCCUGGUUUUGCCUUUAAGCCAGGCCUUGAAUUCUCAUCUUCCACCACCCCCAACCGUGUUCCCCAGACCAGUGGUGGCCUCCAGCUCUGCCUACUGGUCCCCCUCAGAGCCUCAGGAAUCCCGGAGUGGGACAGCAGAUGUCACCCCCAUUGGUAAGAACGGCAGCUCUUUUCCUCCAGGACCACAGGUGCAGCCCCCUCCCAGCCAGCCAGAGCAGAGUCAGGCUCAGAGUCCUCCUCCACAACCCUCCACGUCUUGCUCUUUGCUCUGGAAAUGCCCAUGCCCCUCACCGUGUCAGGCCUGCCCCUGCGGGGAGAAAAAACAAGACCACCUCAUGGAGAGAGUCCGGAGGGCCUGGAUUCUGAGCCCACUUCCGAGGUUUACUAGCCCUGUGCUCUCGAGCAAGUCACUCCCCCAACUGGGCCUCAGUUUCCACAUCUGGACGGUGGCUAAGGCCCCCUUCAGCUCUCACUGCUCCCUUGCUCAGGCCCAGCCUGUGCAUUUGGGUACUCUAUUGCCCCAGCCCCAGUCUGUAACCUCCUUUUUCCAGCUGGGCGGAGAGCAUCCUGUGCCCGCAAAGGAACUACGCCUGGGGAAGAGGAGCUGA